GCCGCUGCUGGUGCUUCUGCACCUCAGCAUACAGGCUGUCCCUUUGCUUCUUGGACAUCCUCCCAAACUUCACAGCUGGGUUGGAGAGAAAAGCAGAAAACAGCACUUGUGGUUAUCAUUCGCGUUAACCACCUCAGUUUGCAGUGCUCUUUCAUUCUUUGCAGGCAUCCUGCCCAGGGUCAUGUGACUUACUGUGGACCAAUGGAAUAUUGACAAAUGUGACACAGCAGAGACUUGAAAAAGGCUCGUGUGAUUGUGCACCUCACCAUGACAAGGACAUGCCUGAGCUAUCUUGCUAGAGGAUAAGCUUGCUGGGGGAUAUGUGAAGCAGAGCCAGACCUCCUUGGUCAUCCCAGGCAAGGCCAUCUACAAUCAGCAGAGCUAUAGAACUGACCUGCAGCUGAUGGACACAGAAAUCUGCUGUUAACCACAGACAUCAUAAUCACAAGCUAACAAUGUCAAAAGAGUAUGCUGCCAAGACCUCUGCCAUGGGUAACAUCUAAAAACUCAACAAAGAAAAGCUCUGCAUUUUUUACAAAAUUGACUUAUCAGGUCACUGAGCAACUGAAAUAUUUCCAAAGAAACAACUUAAAACUACUACAUUUUAGAGUUAUUUCAGCUCCAAUAUGGCUCAGCGUGGCACUGGUGAAGAGAGCUUGAUCAACCUGUGAGGAAACUCAGACACGGAGGUGUGGCCGAGCAUCUCCUCAGAGAGAGAGAGAGUCCCAACUGGCUUAGCCAUUCAACAGGGACUAGUUUCAUCCCUAUAGAUCCAAGUGCAUUCCUUAUUUAAUAAACCAGUGAUUGCAGAAUGAGACUUCUGACUGUCCAGUUUGACUGAAUUCAUGGAGCAUCUUAGAAUGGAGAUCAAACAUCUGCAGAGGAACAGAAUGUGAAGAACAUCUCACGAUAUUCACAAAUAGAUUAUCACUAAUCAUCUUUAAAGUAGAGCAGUGUGUUGACAGAUUAAGUCUACGUUUACUGCUAUUCCUCCAGCUCUUUAUUUAAGAAAGCAGCUUGCUCACAGUAAUUAGUUUGCCACGGGAAGGAUGAGUGGAAUCUGUCUGGAAGUGGAACACUGGAUUGAGACUGAAAAACCCCAUGUUUUUGGCCAUGCUCUGUUCUUUACUGUCUGAAUCAAUGAUGUUGAUCAGAUGACAUAAUCUUGUUUAUACCUCAGGACCUCAUCGGAAAAUGAAGAGGUGGGUGGGGGCAGGUGAAUUUUAGUCGAUUUAGAGUUAAUCUUUUCGGCUUCUAACAUACCAUGCUUCCAGUUUUCUUUUCUUUUCUUUUCUUUUUUUUUCCUGUAACUUGAGAAUAAAGGAUGGCCAUAUGCAUAUUGUAGCUGUUACCUUGACUUCCUCUUUCUCAAGCAGAAAGUUAAAUAUAUACCUAUUAGUUUAUAAUCUUUAUUUUAACCUUUAGUUUUUUCAUAUAGUAAUAAGUGCCUUGGAAUUUACUGGAGACAAUACUGCUAAAACAGCAAGAGUCAGUGUUUGUAUCUCUGUAAAUGUGAAUAACCCAAGGUUUUAAAUACGCAUCCAUUUUUAAAGAGCUGCUGACCAGUUAGACAAUAACAAAAAGGUAAAAGGCAAAAGACCAGAAAAUCAACCCUCCCACCCACCACGCAAGAAUUCCUGAAUGUCAGCAGCAGGCAGAAGGAUCCUUUAGCCAGCCUUCCUUAAAAACGUGUCACCGCAUCUUGUGAGGUACACAGAUGCCUGAGGCAAAUACAGAACCGUGCUGUAUGAAAGUCCCAUACCUUGCAGCCUUCACAUGUGAUGACUCCGUAGUGGAUCCCAGAGGACUUAUCGCCACAAAUUUUGCAUGGUAUCACUUCAAUUUGUGCUGAAAGGAGAAAACAGACAUUUUGAGCAUACAGAUGUUUUCUUUCUCCUUUCACUCUUCCUAUCUCUCUCCCCAUCUAUCUCUGCCUUGAUGUUUGUAUUUGAAAAUACUGGGGUGUGAGCGGUGGUGUGGGAGUCAUCCAUUAGUAUUUGCAUGGCUGUCCUAAGCUUCUUCUAAGUCAAAGUACAUUUCUCUGCCACAGUUUGCUUCGUUUUUCUCAAACUAAAAAAAUACAACCAGAAACCAGUUUUCCAAAGUCUUGCAUUCACUGUUUUCUCCUUUGUGAAUUUGACCUUAAAAGUAGUGGGACUCAAAAAGCCUUUGAACCCACGGCUUUUCUUUUCUUAUUUUGCACUUGAAACAUUAAGUUACUGAGAUCUUUCACAUGGCCUUACCUCAGUGAUAUUUAAAAUAAAUACAUAAAUAAAGCAAAACUCUGGGAGGGAGCAGUGCAUGGUAGCUUUAUACAUUGUGUGGCUGGAUGUUUACUUACAAAAAUGUCAAUAAUAAAUCAGUCCAAUAUUUACUGAGCAUGCUGUAUAUGUUCUCUAAAAUAAUAAAGGAUAUUGAUGGAGGAUAACAUAUGCUAAUGAUGCUAAUAAUCUAAUUAAUGAAAUUAAUACAUGGAGAAAUCAG
rnacentral:lncRNA from 10 species